rnacentral:rRNA from 1 species
AUUGAACGCUGGCGGCAGGCCUAACACAUGCAAGUCGAGCGAGCGGCGGACGGGUGAGUAAUGUAUGGGGACUGCCCGAUAGAGGGGGAUAACUACUGGAAACGGUGGCUAAUACCGCAUACUAUCGGAUAACCCAUAUGGGAUUAGCUAGUAGGUGGGGUAAAGGCUCACCUAGGCGACGAUCUCUAGCUGGUCGGAGAGGAUGAUCAGCCAAGAGGGGACUGGGACACGGCCCAGACUCCGACGGAGGCAGCAGUGGGGAAGAGUGCACAAUGGGCGAAAGCCUGAUGCAGCGACGCGGCGUGGGGGAUGAAGGCUUUCGGGUUGUAAACCUCUGUCGCUAUCGAACGGGUAGGUGGAGAAGAAGCGCCGGCUAACUACGUGCCAGCAGCCGCGGUAAUAC